UACGAGGGGGGCAAGCGUUGUUCGGAAUUAUUGGGCGUAAAGGGUGCGUAGGCGGGUCUUUUAAGUCAGGGGUGAAAUCCUGGAGCUCAACUCCAGAACUGCCUUUGAUACUGAGGAUCUUGAGUUCGGGAGAGGUGAGUGGAACUGCGAGUGUAGAGGUGAAAUUCGUAGAUAUUCGCAAGAACACCAGUGGCGAAGGCGGCUCACUGGCCCGAUACUGACGCUGAGGCACGAAAGCGUGGGGAGCAAACAGGG
rnacentral:rRNA from 1 species